UUGGUUAGGUGGUCUGAGUAGCACUCCUCAGGUCCUAGAUUCGACUCCCCGUAGUAGAGAAUUUCAGGUUAUGGUUAAAAAAAUCCCCUCGUCUGUCCCACGCCAAAGUGAGUAACUUGUUGCCUUUCAUUUGCAGUAACAAUCAUCGUGGUGACGAUUGCUUGGGCACUUCUAGAAUGCUAUCAGAUUAGAGGGACGAUAGUCACAGAGCACUGUCGUGCCUAAUGAGACGUCCUAAAGAUAUGGAGGGCAUAUAGUCGCAUGGGGCCAGUGUUAAUUUAUGAUGACACUUCUGAUGUCUCUUUUGUUUGUCAUUGAGAUCUUGACGGCUGAAGUAUGCUCUGUUGAAAAUGAUAUUGAUGUAUUCGUCAUCGGAUUGUUUAUUUG
rnacentral:lncRNA from 1 species